AUUGAACGUUGGCGGCGUGGAUUAGGCAUGCAAGUCGUGCGGAAAGGCUCCUUCGGGAGUACUCGAGCGGCGUAAGGGAGAGUAACGCGUGGAUAUCUACCCCCUGGACUGGGAUAGCGGCGGGAAACUGCCGGUAAUACCAGAUAAUGUCUGCGGACCAAAGGUGUGAUUCCGCCGGGGGAUGAGUUCGCGUCCUAUUAGCUAGUUGGUAGGGUAAUGGCCUACCAAGGCAAAGAUGGGUACCGGGUGUGAGAGCAUGGCCCGGCUCACUGGGACUGAGACACUGCCCAGACACCUACGGGUGGCUGCAGUCGAGAAUCUUCGGCAAUGGGCGCAAGCCUGACCGAGCGACGCCGCGUGCGGGAUGAAGGCCUUCGGGUUGUAAACCGCUGUCAGAGGGGAGGAAAUGCGUGAGAGUUCUCUCUCACGUUUGACCUAUCCUCAGAGGAAGUACGGGCUAAGCUCGUGCCAGCAGCCGCCGUAAAAC
rnacentral:rRNA from 1 species